rnacentral:rRNA from 1 species
AUUGAACGCUGGCGGCAGGCCUAACACAUGCAAGUCGAGCGCGAAAGCACUUCGGUGUGAGUAGAGCGGCGACGGGUGAGUAAUGCUUGGGAAUCUGCCCAGUAGUGGGGGAUAACGUGUGGAAACGCACGCUAAUACCGCAUACGUCCUACGGGAGAAAGCAGGGGAUCUUCGGACCUUUGCGCUAUUGGAUGAGCCUGCGUUGGAUUAGCUAGUUGGUGGGGUAAUGGCCUACCAAGGCGACGAUCCAUAGCUGGUCUGAGAGGAUGAUCAGCCACACCGGGACUGAGACACGGCCCGGACUCCUACGGGAGGCAGCAGUGGGGAAUCUUGCACAAUGGAGGAAACUCUGAUGCAGCGAUGCCGCGUGAGUGAAGAAGGCCCUUGGGUUGUAAAGCUCUUUCGUCGGGGAAGAAAAUGACUGUACCCGAAUAAGAAGGUCCGGCUAACUUCGUG